UGAAAUUCUGGCAGGCCCAAGGAGUGCUAAAAUCAAAGGCAGCCCUUCAGAGGAAGAGGGAAAAGGCAGGGUGUCUAGUAGCAAAGUUCAAGCAGGCAGAGUACUGACCCCUUCUGUCUAAUGUCAUUCAGAUCAAGAGCCGAGUGGAGAUAAAGGACAUUAUUAUGUAGAUUUUUUGUUUUAUUUUGGUUUGGUUUUUUUGUUUGUUUGUUUUUUUUCAGAUUGUGUUCUCCUAUCCUUGCAAAUCUAACAACCUCAGCAUACAAAGCUUGAUGUGACAGAAGUUAGAGCAGUUGAAAAAACCAGGACUGUUCGAUUAACUCUUGUGGCAUAACAAAUUACCCCAAAAUUUAAUAGCUUAAAACAACCAUUUCAUUUUGCUUACAAUGUGAGGUGUUAGUAGUUCAGGAAGAGCUCAAUUGAGCAAUUCUCUUUAGAGUUCCCCCUACAGUUGCAGUUAGAUAUUGGCUGGAACUGCGAUCAUUUGAAGGCUCAGCUGGACUGGAUGUCAAAGAUACAAGGCAGUCGGUGCUGGCUUUCAGCUGGGAGCUCAACUGGAGCUAUUAACUCAAGCACCUACAUGCUGUUUCUCCAUGUGGCUGGGUCUUCUCACUCAGCAGCUGCUAGACUCCAAAACAUAGUAUCUCAAGAGGGGAGAGUCUAAAGAGCACAGGAAGCAAACAUUCUAAGAGACCAAGAAUAAGCUGCAAGGAGACCCAGCCUUGGAAGUCACUCAGUGAUAUUGGCACUGAACUUUAUUCAUCAAGGAAAUCGCUAUGACUAGCCUAGAUUCAAUGAAGAGAAAUUAGAUCCAAUCGUCUAGGAAAGAAGUCUUAUAAAAUUUGCCAUUGUUUUUAAUUCAUCAUAAACACUUUUUCAUCAUUCUGCUGCUUCUACCUUUCUUAUGUUACUCUUCCCAUCUAAAUUUGGAAAUAAGCAUCCUUUACUCUGAAGCUAUGGCUUUUAAUUGAAACCCUUCCUAGUAGUCAAGCCUAGACAGAUGGAAAAUAAGUUCUCUUUUUAAAUUUGUUUCUAACAUUUGCUCUACUGUUUUUCUGAUACCAAAACUGUUGGAAGCAGCAUUUCUCAUCACAGUUUGUGAUAGGAA
rnacentral:lncRNA from 1 species